UACAGAGGUCUCAAGCGUUUGUUCGGAUUCAUUGGGCGUAAAGGGUGCGUAGGCGGCGCGGUAAGUCGGGUGUGAAAUCUCGGGCUUAACUCCGAAACUGCAUUCGAUACUGCCGUGCUUGAGGACUGGAGAGGAGACUGGAAUUUACGGUGUAGCGGUGAAAUGCGUAGAUAUCGUAAGGAAGACCAGUGGCGAAGGCGGGUCUCUGGACAGUUCCUGACGCUGAGGCACGAAG
rnacentral:rRNA from 1 species